rnacentral:rRNA from 1 species
GGCGGCGUGCUUAACACAUGCAAGUCGAACGAUUAAACCGCCCUCGGGCGGACAUAGAGUGGCGAACGGGUGAGUAACACGUGACCAACCUGCCCCGCGCUCCGGGACAACCGCUGGAAACGGCGGCUAAUACCGGAUACUCCGGGAGGGCCCCAUGGCCCUGCCGGGAAAGCCGAGACGGCGCGGGAUGGGGUCGCGGCCCAUUAGGUAGACGGCGGGGUAACGGCCCACCGUGCCCGCGAUGGGUAGCCGGACUGAGAGGUCGACCGGCCACAUUGGGACUGAGAUACGGCCCAGACUCCUACGGGAGGCAGCAGUGGGGAAUUUUGCGCAAUGGGGGAAACCCUGACGCAGCAACGCCGCGUGCGGGACGAAGGCCCUCGGGUUGUAAACCGCUUUCAGCAGGGAAGAUCCAAGACGGUACCUGCAGAAGAAGCUCCGGCUAACUACGUGCCAGCAGCCGCGGUAAUACGUAGGGGGCGAGCGUUAUCCGGAUUCAUUGGGCGUAAAGCGUGCGUAGGCGGCCGCCUAAGCGGGACCUCUAACCCCGGGGCUCAACCCCGGGCCGGGUCCCGGACUGGGCGGCUCGAGUGCGGUAGAGGAGAGCGGAAUUCCCGGUGUAGCGGUGGAAUGCGCAGAUAUCGGGAAGAACACCGAUGGCGAAGGCAGCUCUCUGGGCCGUCACUGACGCUGAGGCGCGAAAGCUGGGGGAGCGAACAGGAUUAGAUACCCUGGUAGUCCCAGCCGUAAACGAUGGGCGCUAGGUGUGGGGGGACGAUCCCUCCGUGCCGCAGCCAACGCAUUAAGCGCCCCGCCUGGGGAGUACGGCCGCAAGGCUAAAACUCAAAGGAAUUGACGGGGGCCCGCACAAGCAGCGGAGCAUGUGGCUUAAUUCGAAGCAACGCGAAGAACCUUACCAGGGCUUGACAUGCCGAUGAAGCCGGGGAGACCCGGUGGCCGAGAGGAGUCGGCGCAGGUGGUGCAUGGCUGUCGUCAGCUCGUGUCGUGGGAUGUUGGGUUAAGUCCCGCAACGAGCGCAACCCCCGCCCCGUGUUGCCAGCAUUCAGUUGGGGACUCGCGGGGGACUGCCGGCGUCAAGCCGGAGGAAGGUGGGGACGACGUCAAGUCAUCAUGCCCCUUAUGCCCUGGGCUGCACACGUGCUACAAUGGCCGGUACAGAGGGUUGCCACCCCGCGAGGGGGAGCGGAUCCCGGAAAGCCGGUCCCAGUUCGGAUCGCAGGCUGCAACCCGCCUGCGUGAAGCCGGAGUUGCUAGUAAUCGCGGAUCAGCACGCCGCGGUGAAUACGUUCCCGGGCCUUGU